UCUCCGCGUUACAAACAUUCUCAUGAAUACAAUAGACCCUAGUGAGAAAGAAACAGCUUUGGAUGGACUUUUAGUGUUUCAAGUAUGGAUGAGGAGAUUGUUUUUGUGACUAGAUUUUCUAAAAAAUUGGAAGACUUUUUCAACCCAAUUUUAUUGUUUAAUCUAAUAAUAUCAUCGAUUCUAAUUUGCAUGGUUGGAUUCCAAAUAAUAACUAAAAAGUCACAUAAAUACAUUAUGGCACGGUUCC